GAUUUCAACUGAAAAAGUCAUCAACAAUAAAGUUGUAUAACUCAUCAAGAUCUAUAACUUUUAUUUUGGUUAUUUCUUCAUCCGACAAAGUGGUAGUAACAUUGUUCACAAAAUUCACAUAUCUCUCAUCUGGUUUUAUAAACUAUAACACAUAUAUGUAAAUUUUGUGAACAAUGUUACUAACACUUUGUCGGAUGAAGAAAUGGUAAACAUAAAAGUUAUAGAUCUUGGUGAGUUAUACAACUUUGUUGUUGAUGACUUUUUUAGUUGAAAUC
rfam:Oryza glumipatula chromosome 1, whole genome shotgun sequence.